AGAAUCAGUGUUCUCACCAGGGCAGCCGCAGCAUCCUGUGACAGGAGAUGUCUGAUCUGUCCAAUGUUACGGAGAUGGAAGUAACAUUUUCUGCACAGAUCCAGAAUCUGUUUCUUCAUGGAGAGGUCAGGUUGGAGUAGGACGCCAAGAUUUCUGACAUGUAGAGAAGGCUGAAUGACCAUGUUUCCAACUUUCAACUCAACAUGUUGUGAUUUUACUAACAUGUUUCUUGUGCCAACAAUCAUACCCUUUGUCUUGUGUUCAUUUAAUUUUAGUUUGCUAUUGAACAUCCACGAACCAAUAUGGUCAAUGGCAUCUUCAAUUCUGGUCAAGUCAGAACUGUAGUCUGGACACAUAUAUUGAACAUGUGAGUUGAAAUUGU